rnacentral:tRNA from 1 species
GCCUCUAUAGCUCAGCGGAAGAGCAGGAAUCUUCUAAGUUCUUGGUCGGGAGUUCGAAUCUCUCUAGGGGCGC